rnacentral:rRNA from 1 species
AGCGAACGCUGGCGGCAGGCCUAACACAUGCAAGUCGAACGAACUCUUCGGAGUUAGUGGCGGACGGGUGAGUAACACGUGGGAACGUGCCUUUUGGUUCGGAAUAACUCAGGGAAACUUGUGCUAAUACCGAAUGUGCCCUUCGGGGGAAAGAUUUAUCGCCAUUAGAGCGGCCCGCGUCUGAUUAGCUAGUUGGUGAGGUAACGGCGCACCAAGGCGCCGAUCAGUAGCUGGUCUGAGAGGAUGACCAGCCACACUGGGACUGAGACACGGCCCAGACUCCUACGGGAGGCAGCAGUGGGGAAUCUUGCGCAAUGGGCGAAAGCCUGACGCAGCCAUGCCGCGUGAAUGAUGAAGGUCUUAGGAUUGUAAAAUUCUUUCACCGGGGACGAUAAUGACGGUACCAGGAGAAGAAGCCCCGGCUAACUUCGUG